GAUGAACGCUGGCGGCGUGCCUAAUACAUGCAAGUCGAGCGAACAGACGAGGAGCUUGCUCCUCUGACGUUAGCGGCGGACGGGUGAGUGACACGUGGAUAACCUACCUAUAAGACUGGGAUAACUUCGGGAAACCGGAGCUAAUACCGGAUAAUAUAUUGAACCGCAUGGUUCAAUAGUGAAAGACGGUUUUGCUGUCACUUAUAGAUGGAUCCGCGCCGCAUUAGCUAGUUGGUAAGGUAACGGCUUACCAAGGCAACGAUGCGUAGCCGACCUGAGAGGGUGAUCAGCCACACUGGAACUGAGACACGGUCCAGACUCCUACGGGAGGCAGCAGUAGGGAAUCUUCCGCAAUGGGCGAAAGCCUGACGGAGCAACGCCGCGUGAGUGAUGAAGGUCUUCGGAUCGUAAAACUCUGUUAUUAGGGAAGAACAAAUGUGUAAGUAACUAUGCACGUCUUGACGGUACCUAAUCAGAAAGCCACGGCUAACUACGUG
rnacentral:rRNA from 1 species